rnacentral:pre_miRNA from 1 species
UAUUGGUGAGGACCGGGUAAUCUGCAUCCUGGGGUUUACGGUUUAAGAACACACAAAGUGUGCGUAUGCAUAUGUAUAUGUGUGUUAGUAAAGCUUUUAGACCUCAGGAUGCGGAUUACCUCUUCCUUACAAUACG